AGUGAACGCUGGCGGUAGGCCUAACACAUGCAAGUCGAACGGCAGCACAGUAAGAGCUUGCUCUUACGGGUGGCGAGUGGCGGACGGGUGAGGAAUACAUCGGAAUCUACUUUUUCGUGGGGGAUAACGGAGGGAAACUUACGCUAAUACCGCAUAUGACCUACGGGUGAAAGCAGGGGAUCUUCGGACCUUGCGCGAUUGAAUGAGCCGAUGUCGGAUUAGCUAGUUGGCGGGGUAAAGGCCCACCAAGGCGACGAUACGUAGCUGGUCUGAGAGGAUGAUCAGCCACACUUGAACUGAGACACGGUCCAGACUCCUACGGGAGGCAGCAGUGGGGAAUAUUGGACAAUGGGCGCAAGCCUGAUCCAGCCAUACCGCGUGGGUGAAGAAGGCCUUCGGGUUGUAAAGCCCUUUUUUUGGGAAAGAAAAGCAGCAGGUUAAUACCCCGCUGUUCUGACGGUACCCAAAGAAUAAGCACCGGCUAACUUCGUG
rnacentral:rRNA from 1 species